UGCCAGACUCCUACGGGAGGCAGCAGUGGGGAAUCUUCCGCAAUGGGCGAAAGCCUGACGGAGCAACGCCGCGUGAUCGAAUGAAGGCCUUCGGGUUGUAAAGAUCUGUUGACAGGGACGAAUAAGCAAUGCGAAUAGUUUUGUGUAUGACGGUACCUGUUUAGAAAGCUCCGGCUAACUACGUGCCAGCAGCCGCGGUAAUACGUAGGGAGCAAGCGUUGUCCGGAAUUACUGGGUGUAAAGGGCGUGUAGGCGGGGACGCAAGUCAGAUGUGAAAACCACGGGCUCAACCUGUGGCCUGCAUUUGAAACUGUGUUUCUUGAGUACUGGAGAGGCAGACGGAAUUCCUAGUGUAGCGGUGAAAUGCGUAGAUAUUAGGAGGAACACCAGUGGCGAAGGCGGUCUGCUGGACAGCAACUGACGCUGAGGCGCGAAAGCGUGGGGAGCAAACAGGAUUAGAUACCCCUGUAA
rnacentral:rRNA from 1 species